AUACUUACCUGGCAGGGGAGACGCCAUGAUCACCAAGGUGGUUUUCCAGGGCGAGGCUUACCCAUUGCGCUCCGCAUGUGCAGGCCCCGGCGAUUUCCCCAAAUGUGGGAAACUCGACUGCAUGAUUUGGGGGGAAGGCGGGGACUGUGUUCACACUCUCCCCUA